UACGAAGGGGGCUAGCGUUGUUCGGAAUUACUGGGCGUAAAGCGCACGUAGGCGGAUUGUUAAGUCAGGGGUGAAAUCCCGAGGCUCAACCUCGGAACUGCCCUUGAUACUGGCCAUCUCGAGUCCGGAAGAGGUUAGUGGAAUUCCCAGUGUAGAGGUGAAAUUCGUAGAUAUUGGGAAGAACACCGGUGGCGAAGGCGGCUAACUGGUCCGGAACUGACGCUGAGGUGCGAAAGCGUGGGGAGCAAACAGG
rnacentral:rRNA from 1 species